GAUGUCUAAUCCACCGACGAUUAGAUAGAGUAUACCCACGACGGCCUGUGCAACGAUUUGUCUCUAAUUUCCGGCUGAGCAAUGAUUGGCGUCUGCGCCUGCGAAUUGAUCCAAUUGCACUGAACUUCCGCCUGCGCAAUCGUAUCGGAGGAUAACAAGGCUGCCAAUCCCGUCGGAUCGAAGGCAGCGAUCAGAAGAUUGUCCAAGAAGACGACGAAGCUUAGUGUCACUCUCAAUCGGCCAAUCCACUCUACGGAAAUUGCGUACUUGGCGUCCUCCAUCCUGCAGUCUCGCAUUAGGUUUAGCGAGAGAGACAGUAAUCCCGACAGGAUCUAACCUCCAAAAAACAUUCAUUGGUGACACAGUGGUGGUAGCCAUGACGGCAAUGAUUUCAAUAACUCGUAAACGAAUAAAAAUAAAAUAUAAUCAACUGGGACUCUAUUUCGAAAAUCCGCCCGGGCACGACCGGCCGAACGUUCACG